rnacentral:rRNA from 1 species
AGAGUUUGAUCCUGGCUCAGAUUGAACGCUGGCGGCAGGCCUAACACAUGCAAGUCGAACGGUAACAGGAAACAGCUUGCUGUUUCGCUGACGAGUGGCGGACGGGUGAGUAAUGUCUGGGAAACUGCCUGAUGGAGGGGGAUAACUACUGGAAACGGUAGCUAAUACCGCAUAACGUCGCAAGACCAAAGAGGGGGACCUUCGGGCCUCUUGCCAUCGGAUGUGCCCAGAUGGGAUUAGCUUGUUGGUGGGGUAACGGCUCACCAAGGCGACGAUCCCUAGCUGGUCUGAGAGGAUGACCAGCCACACUGGAACUGAGACACGGUCCAGACUCCUACGGGAGGCAGCAGUGGGGAAUAUUGCACAAUGGGCGCAAGCCUGAUGCAGCCAUGCCGCGUGUAUGAAGAAGGCCUUCGGGUUGUAAAGUACUUUCAGCGGGGAGGAAGGGAGUAAAGUUAAUACCUUGCUCAUGACGUACCCGCAGAAGAG